CAGUAGCCGCGGUAAUACGUAGGUGGCAAGCGUUGUCCGGAAUUAUUGGGCGUAAAGGGCUCGCAGGCGGUUUCUUAAGUCUGAUGUGAGAGCCCCCGGCUCAACCGGGGAGGGUCAUUGGAAACUGGGAAACUUGAGUGCAGAAGAGGAGAGUGGAGUUCCACGUGUAGCGGUGAAAUGCGUAGAGAUGUGGAGGAACACCAGUGGCGAAGGUGACUCUCUGGUCUGUAACUGACGCUGAGGAGCGAAAGCGUGGGGAGCGAACAGGAUUAGAUACCCCAGUAGUCCCUGUCUCUUAUAC
rnacentral:rRNA from 1 species